rnacentral:lncRNA from 10 species
CCUACAGAGGUGGAGCCUAGAGAGGCAGGCAGGCCUCCUUGAGCUGUGUUGGGCUCCACCCAGUUUGAACUUCCUGGCCGCUUUGUUUACCUACUCAAGCCUGAGCAAUGGCGGGUGCCCCUCCCCCAGCCUCCCUGCCACCUUGCAGUUUGAUCUCGGACUGCUGUGCUAGCAAUGAGCAAGUCUCCGUGGCAUAGGACCCUCCGAGCCAGGACAAACUGGAAACACAGGUUAUAUCACCAAGGCUUUGACUGAAACAUCAUGUUUUCAGAUAUGACCAGAAGGCUUUAUGGGACUAAGGUUGACUUUAUGGAACCAAUAAAGUACCAUCUUGGAAAAACUGGCUCUAGGGUUCCCAGACUUACAGAAACUAAACUUCCCACAUUGAAGGCCUGAUAGCUCACACUAUCCAGGAAAUAUCCUCUGCUACCAAGUCCCAACAGAUGAUUCAACUGGUCCUUAAUGAAUAAAAGUUCUGCAGGCUGCACAAGAAGCAUGGCCCAAGCAUCUGCUUCUGGUGAAAGCCUCACGUGCUGCUGCAUUCAUGGUGGAAGGUGAAGGGGAGCUGCAGUGUGCAGAUAUCACAUGGUGAAAGAGGAAGCAAGAAAGAGAAAGGGGGGAGGGGCCAGGUUCCUUUUAACAACCUGCUAUUGUGGGAACUAAUAGAGUGAGAACUCACUCUCCAUCUCCGUCCAGAGAGUACAUUACUCUACUCAUGAGGGAUCCACCCCCAAGACUCAAACGUCUCUCAUUGGGGCCCACCUCCAACAUUAGGGAUAAAAUUUCAACAUGAGGUUUGGAGGGGACAAACAUCCAAACUACAGCACUUACUAUGCUUUUUUUUUUUUUUUUGAAACAGUCUUGCUUUGUUGCCCAGGCUGGAGUGGAGUGGCGUGAUCUUGGCUCACUGCAACCUCUGUCUCCUGGGUUCAAGCAAUUCUCCUGCCUCAGCCUCCUGAGUAGCUGGGAUUACAGGCACAUGCCACCAUGCCUGGCUAAUUUUUGUAUUUUUGUAGAGAUGGGGUUUCACCAUGUUGGCCAGGCUGGUCUUGAAUUCCUGACCUCAUGUGAUCCGCCUGCCUCGGCCUCCCAAAGUGCUGGGAUUACAGCUGUGAGCCACCGCACCCAGCCUGUUUUGUAAAUUCUUGAAGUAUUUUGAUUUGCACAAAUUUGCCUAUGACAGUUUCUUUCAUGGAUCACUCACUUUCAUAAGAAGGAAGAAGAAAAAUACAUUUUUAAUGGGUUUAAAUUCACCAGGUUUUCCUACAAAUGUUUUUCCAUGGUAGUAACUAGGGAUAGAAAUAUUCAUUCCAAUUCCUGGUUCUAUUACUUUUUUUUUGUUAGUAAUCUAUAAGAAGUUUAAACAGAUAGAGAAAUUAUUUUAAACACAGAUUCCCCAUGUGGGGCAGUCAAAAGGCCAAAGACCCAAGAGAAGAGAGCCAGAUUCAAGGCAACUGAGAUUAGCAACUGGGGAAAGAGAAGGCACUUUAACUGCUGUAAUGUCAAGUAAGAAGUUUUCAAGAGCCCGUAUACUGAUAACACUUCAGGCUUUCAUAAAAGCAAAACUCUAAAUGGAAAACAACAAAGUGACUUUGAAAAGAGUGCUCCAAUGCAGUUCCUUAAUUCAUCCAACUUGCAUGUGCUGCUGUUGCUUUUACCAUUUUAUGAGUUACCAUCUCAACAAUCCUGGGAAGAACACUGCUCCUUUUGCAAACAGGUACCCUUACAGCAAUAUUCCUGUCGCCUUCAUGCUUUUAUAUGGUGGCAUGGCAAAUAUUUAAUGGUCAGCUCUCUGGCAACAGAACAGAAGCCUUGCUUUGUACCGGCUCCAAUUUCUGUGGUGUAAAUACUCCCACCAUGGCUGACAUCCGCCUACCAAUGUGAAAUCCCUGAGUGUGAAGUUGGGAAGAGAAGUGCACAAGUGUUCUUGCAAGUUUAUGUGAGCCAGCUCCAGCGCACCACUGUCUCUAUGCCUCCCCACUACCUAGAAUGUUCUUUACUUUCUCCACACCUAAAUGUUCUUUACUUUCUCCACACCUACUCUUCCUUCCAUACUCAGCAACUCUGACACCCUCAAACCUCCAUCCCCAAUUCAAUCUGAGUUCUACGCCUCUUGUCUGUGUUCUAUUUUGCACCUUGGAAGGUUUUGAUCUUUCUUUCUUUUAACAAGUACGUAUUGGGUGCUCUCUGUGUUUCACACAUUAGCUUACGUCUGGGAGAAACACUGUUGAAGAGAGCAAAUUACUCAGGCUUCAGGCACAUUUGCUUAGCCUCUUACAAAGGCAGACAAGCAGUAAAUGUGGUAAGUGCUAUAACUGGGCUAAGAACAGAGGACGGGCACCGACAUGGAGCAUAGCCUGCAACUAUAAUUAUUGCACUGAGAGAGUAAAAUUAGAAGAAAUCCAAACUGUGAGGAACAAAAUCAUCCUUUUUUUUAAAUAUGAUUCACCCUCAAAAAGAUGAGUGGCUAUGCCAGAUCCAGCCUAGGGAAAUGCAGUGAAUUGGUGUAGCAAAGGACUUUUAAUCAGACUAGCAGUAGACCAAUGAGAGAUAUUGCCUUCACCUUUCCCACGUGCUUCUCAACACAGAAAUAGGUACUUGACUUGGGCUCAGCAAAUCUUACUACCUCAUCCACUUGGCAACAGUGCUUGUCCCAAAGAUAGGCCCUUGAUCCAAAGUGGGUAGCGAAUGGUAUCAUUUUUAUCCUGAGAUUAAUAUUUAGAGUAUGGAGAAAAAAAAGUUAUCCUUCCCCCGCUGAGUUUACUAAACUGGAAUGUCACAGAUUUGGGAUUACCAAAUGACAAUUUUCUCUGUUACUUAAAAGAAACUGCUGGCCAGGCAGGGUGGCUCACGCCUGUAAUCCCAGCACUUUGGGAGGCCGAGGCGGGUGGAUCACAAGAUCAAGAGAUUGAGAUCAUCCUGCCCAACACGGUGAAACCCCGUCUCUACUAACAAUACAAAAAUUAGCUGGGCAUGGUGGCACGUGCCUGUACUCCCAGCUACUCGGGAGGCUGAGGCAGGAGAAUCGCUUGAACCCAGGAGGUAGAGGUAGCAGUCAGCCGAGAUUGUGCCAUUGCACUCCAACCUGGUGACAGAGCAAGGCUCCAUCUCAAAAAAAAAAAAAAAAAAAAAAAAAAGAAAGAAAAAAAAGAAAAAAGAAAACAAACUGCCAAACAGAAAUGGAAAAGAGAAAAGUUCUGGUUGAGUUCCCCGUUCAAUUGCCUGAGUCCCUGGGUCCUCCAGCUCUUGCUUUGUCUGCUAGGCCAUCCAAGCAUGCUUUACCAUUGUACAUUGUAUCAGUCAAGAAACUGUAUCUUGUCUUUGUUGGUUUGAGUUACAGUUAUGUCAUGCAACCAAAUGUUUUCUGACAAAUGCAGUGACCCUGGAUGAGGCCUCAAGGAGGCAAGACUGGAUUGUGACUGCCAAUAAGAAAAUGUACCCCUGGGAGGCACUUGUUCUGCUAUUCCUUCAAGCUUCUCUCUCUGCCUUAAAUCUGUCUGCAUUCCCAGAUGUCACCAAGCCCAUGGGGCUUACAAAUAGAAAUAAGAGGAAGUCCCUAUGCAGGGACUUACCAUUUACUUGAAACAAAUGAAUCCAAAAAACGUGAUAGAAAACUACCAGCUAAACUGGGGAAACAAAGGAGGAAUUAGUCAAUUGUAUAGAAGGGUCAGGAGAGAAUAAAAGUGGCUCCUUAAUAAUAAUUAAUUCUUUUUAUUUAUUUAUUUAUUUAUUUUUUGAGACAGAGUCUCGCUCUGUCACCCAGGCUGGAGUGCAGUGGCACAGUCUUGGCUCACUGCAAGCUCCACUUCCCGGGUUCACUCCAUUCUCUUGCCUCAGCCUCCCGGGUAGCUGGGACUACAGGCACCUGCCACCAUGACCGGCUAAUUUUUUGUAUUUUUAGUAGAGACGGGGUUUCACCGUGUUAGCCAGGAUGGUCUCGAUCUCCUGACCUUGUGAUCCGCCUGCCUCGGCCUCCCAAAGUGCUGGGCUUACAGGCGUGAGCCACCGUGCCUGGUCAAUAAUAAUUAAUUCUUAUUAAGCAACUUAGAUAUUUCUUUUUGCCUGUGUUUAUCUCAUUUAAUUCUCUUCUACAACUAUAAAGAGAUAGAAGCCUUUGUUCUCCUCAUUCUUCAGAUGAGAAAACUGAGAUUUUAUGUAUUAAGAAAUUGUGUAGCUUGCCCAAGUUCACAUAUCUAGGAGUUGCAGUCCAUUUUACUCCAGUAAAAGUCAGAAGUUGAGUCUGUUUUACUCCAAAUCCCAGUCUCCACAAGCCUUCUUGAGAUAAGUGUUAAAAUUGUUUGACACUUAAUAUCACAAAGAAAAAUAAUACAGAAGUUUCUACCUGAAUUUUAAAAAUAUAUUUUUGAAAUUACAUGGAAUCCUGUUCCUAAGUAAGCACUGCAAAAAUCAACCAACCAACUAAACAAACUCAAAUGUUUAGUCAAUUAAAACUUUGUGGGGCCAGGCACAGAGGCUCACACCUAUAAUUCCAGCCCUUUGGGAAGCAAAGGCAGGAGGAUCACUUGAGCCCAGGAGUUUGAGAACAGCCUGGGCAACAUAGUUGCACCCUGUCUCUACAAAAAUUUUUUUUUUAAAC